rnacentral:rRNA from 1 species
UACGAAGGGGGCUAGCGUUGUUCGGAAUUACUGGGCGUAAAGCGCGUGUAGGCGGGUCUUUAAGUCAGGGGUGAAAUGCCAAGGCUCAACCUUGGAACUGCCUUUGAUACUGGAGACCUUGAGUCCGGGAGAGGUGAGUGGAACUGCGAGUGUAGAGGUGAAAUUCGUAGAUAUUCGCAAGAACACCAGUGGCGAAGGCGGCUCACUGGCCCGAUACUGACGCUGAGGUGCGAAAGCGUGGGGAGCAAACAGG